AACUUUCAACAACGGAUCUCUUGGCUCUCGCAUCGAUAAAGAACGCAGCGAAAUGCGAUAAGUAAUGUGAAUUGCAGAUUUUCAGUGAAUCAUCAAAUCUUUGAACGCACCUUGCGCUCCUUGGUAUUCCGAGGAGCAUGCCUGUUUGAGUGUC
rnacentral:rRNA from 1 species